rnacentral:lncRNA from 1 species
AUCCCUUUCCUUCAUACUUCAUAUAAAUAAAUCUAAAACCCCGGAGUAUAUCUUUCCACGGAUCGAAGGAAAAAAGACAGUUCGAUCGAUUAUUUAUUUUUAGAUUCUUUUAUCUGUUAGAAAAAGAGAUAAUAUACUAUUUUCCUUUUAGAAAAUCGAAAAUUCAAUAAAAAUAAAAUAAAUAAGAGACUGGAAAUGAAAGUCUCUUUCUCGGAUCUAUUCUUCAUCACACUGUUGGAACAAAACAAAAAUACCGGAUGCAA